rnacentral:lncRNA from 1 species
UCUGCAAUUAAAUCAAACCAAUUAUUCAUCUGCCCAAUGGAACUAAAAUGAAAUUUCGAAUUUAGGGGUUUUAUUAAUCUAUACCUUGAAUGACACCACUGGAAACACUCGAUUAAAAAAAUGUCUGCGAAUUCGAAAACAUGGAGAUGGAAACCAUUGCCGUUAGCAACAUAAAAAAACGACUGGAUAAAUAAAAUGGAAGAAAAAAGACAAGAUUAAGAUGAUGAGGGAUCUAUACCAGAAGUUGGGAGUUGCUUCUUAUUUGGCGAUCUUAGAUGAAUACCUGAAAGAAUAGUGAUUGGAUGAGUUGAAAGAGAUCGGGAUUUGGUAUUUAUAGGAAAGGAUGUAGUGUGACAUAGAUUGGAAACCAUUGUUAACAUCUUCCUUAUCACUCUCGUCAAACAAACGAACAUCAUCCUCUCUUUACAUAUUGUUAACUGUCUUAAAUAAUAUAAUAUCUCUUCGAAAAAAAAAACAAAAACAAAAAUAUCUGUGGCUGGCUGGUCCAACUUGCGCUUUUUUGACAUUGGAUGGGGUCGCCACGUUGGAUCCACGCCCACACAAUUCCACUUAAUAAUUAAGAAAGAAAUAAAACGAAGUAAAACUAGAAAACGUGAUACGACACCAAUGUUUCUUAUGUUGCACACCUGUACGAUUUUCGUUGGGUAAAAUUAAAAUUUGCAAAAGAAAAUUUUUGGUUGUAAGGGCUAUUCAUCUCUGUUGCUUACGCCUGCACUUUGCAUUGGGAAGCUCAAAUACACAACCGC